rnacentral:rRNA from 1 species
AACGAACGCUGGCGGCAUGCCUAACACAUGCAAGUCGAACGAGACCUUCGGGGCUAGUGGCGCACGGGUGCUUAACGCGUGGGAACCUGCCCUUAGGUUCGGAAUAACUCCCCGAAAGGGGUGCUAAUACCGGAUAAUGUCUUCGGACCAAAGAUUUAUCGCCUUUGGAUGGGCCCGAGUUGGAUUAGCUAGUUGGUAGGGUAAAAGCCUACCAAGGCGACGAUCCAUAGCUGGUCUGAGAGGAUGAUCAGCCACACUGGGACUGAGACACGGCCCAGACUCCUGCGGGAGGCAGCAGUGGGGAAUAUUGGACAAUGGGCGAAAGCAUGAUCGAGCAAUGCCGCGUGAGUGAUGAAGGCCUUAGGGUUGUAAAGCUCUUUUACCCGGGAUGAUAAUGACAGUACCGGGAGAAUAAGCUCCGGCUAACUCCGUG